rnacentral:rRNA from 1 species
CCUACGGGAGGCAGCAGUGGGGAAUAUUGGACAAUGGGGGAAACCCUGAUCCAGCAAUGCCGCGUGAGUGAUGAAGGCCUUAGGGUUGUAAAGCUCUUUUACCAGGGAUGAUAAUGACAGUACCUGGAGAAUAAGCUCCGGCUAACUCCGUGCCAGCAGCCGCGGUAAUACGGAGGGAGCUAGCGUUGUUCGGAAUUACUGGGCGUAAAGCGCACGUAGGCGGUUACUCAAGUCAGAGGUGAAAGCCCGGGGCUCAACCCCGGAACUGCCUUUGAAACUAGGUAACUAGAAUCCUGGAGAGGUGAGUGGAAUUCCGAGUGUAGAGGUGAAAUUCGUAGAUAUUCGGAAGAACACCAGUGGCGAAGGCGGCUCACUGGACAGGUAUUGACGCUGAGGUGCGAAAGCGCGGGGAGCAAACAGGAUUAGAUACCCUGGUAGUCCACGCCGUAAACGAUGAUAACUAGCUGUCCGGGCACAUGGUGUUUGGGUGGCGCAGCUAACGCAUUAAGUUAUCCGCCUGGGGAGUACGGUCGCAGAUUAAAACUCAAAUGAA